GGCUCGUGCAGUAGCUAAUGGUGCUGAGGCAAAUACGCACGAGCGCAUCACGGCCGUACGGCAACACCCGCGCAUGCAUACGCCCGCAACCCUGCGCACUACGUUCUUUGGCGAAUCUACAGCAUAUGCUAUAUCGACUUCUCUGAAGUACACAUCCUUGCCGAAACCCGUUUCUCUUUAAAUUCGCCUGGCAUAAACGCGUUAGCAUUGGUGGGUGAAGAUUGAGAUGAUGGCUCAUCGGUGCGCGUCUUAAUGAGGAUCCAAAGGCGUUUGUGACAUUGGGCAUUAGAAACGUCCCUGGGUAACAAUGAGCACUGCAUUUCAUCAGAAGGCUGUUCACAGUCCACUGGACAAGCAGAAGGGCUCACGGCAGAGCGGCCCCGUCCCAUGUCAAAACUGUGGCAAGUCCUGCAAAGGCGAAGUGUUGAGAGUGCAGAACAAACACUUCCACAUUAAGUGCUUUGUUUGCAAAGUUUGCGGUUGUGACUUGGCUCAGGGAGGCUUUUUCGUGCGACAGGGCGAAUAUAUCUGCACUCAGGAUUAUCAGCGCCUUUAUGGGACACGCUGCUUCAGUUGCGAAGAGUUUAUUGAGGGAGAAGUUGUAUCUGCCCUGGGCAAGACUUACCACCCUCGCUGCUUUGUCUGUGCCAGUUGCAAACAGCCGUUUCCAGCCGGUGGCCGCGUGACGUUUAAUGGGAAGGAGUGCAUUUGUGAGAACUGCUCUCAGCCUGUGCCAGUCAACAGCACGGCAACACCACAGGCUGUGCACAAUUGCUGUGGGUGUGGAAAGGAGUUUAAAAAUGAACAGUCUCUGGUGGCAUUGGACAAGCACUGGCACCUUGGCUGCUUCAAAUGCAAAGUGUGCAAUAAAGUGCUUAAUGCAGAGUAUAUCAGCAAGGACGGUAUCCCUUACUGUGAGACAGAUUACCAUGCCAUGUUCGGCAUCCAGUGUGAUACCUGCAAGAAAUACAUCACCGGGAAAGUACUUGAGGCUGGAGAAAAGCACUAUCAUCCCACAUGUGCCAGAUGUGCACGCUGUGAUCAGAUGUUUGGCGAGGGAGAGGAGAUGUACCUGCAGGGUUCUUCCAUCUGGCAUCCUCCUUGCAGACAGGCAGCACGUAUGGAGGAGAAAAGCAAGAAACAUGUGCGGAUUCAGCUCAGUGACCAACAAUCGAAUGUACCUGAGCAGGUGACCCGAACUUCCUCAGAGAGCAUCACAUCUGCUCCUGCCUCCAGCACAUCAGGAUCCCCAAGCAGAAUUAUCUAUGCAAAACUUGGUGAUGAACUUUUGGACUACAAGGACCUGGCCGCUCUUCCUAAAAUCAAAGCAAUUUACAACAUUGACAGGCCAGACAUGCUCUCAUACUCCCCCUAUGUGAGCUACCCUGUGGAGGACAGGACCUUCGGGGAGUCACCCCAGCAGCUUACCCCUACACCAACUGAGGGAGAGGGGGAAAGGUCUCCCCGUCAGAGAAGACCCUCCAGCCCGAGUUCCAACAGUUCUUUAGGAGGUUAUGGCCGAUAUACCCCUUCUCGUUCACCACAGACCUACAGCAGACCAGAUUAUUCCAACACGCUACAUGUACCGACUUCAGGUAGGAGUAGCGCCCUUGGCAUUGCCAGAGACUCCUCCCCUCUGCCUUCAUACAGUGACAGUGGUAGAAACACUCCACAGCCGGGGUGCAGUGGUGUGGCCCUGCCCCUCAACCCCACCACCCUGGCUUUGCUCCAGCAACACAACUACAUCCCUUAUUUCAAAGGUAGUGAAAGUGGGCGGAGCACCCCCAGUCUCUCCACCUAUUCUGAUGGCAAAUCUCCCUCCACUGCAUAUGUGGCUGCCCCACGGCAUUUUCAUAUCCCAGAGGCUAAAGUCAAAGAUAAUAUCUAUAGAAAGCCCCCUAUCUACAAACAGCAUGCUUCCAGAACCUCCUGGCAAGAUGGAGAGGAUGCAGACAGAAAGACCAGAACGAGUUGGAUGAAUCUGAAGGGAGAGACUGAUGGACAGUCUCCAGAAUUGGACCCAAGGACUUCUACCCACAGUUUGCCCACUGAUAUGUCUCAACCCAACUUUCCAUACAGCAAGUCUGCUUCAUUACCAGGAUACGGUCGGAACGGCAUAUUUAAGGCAGCAGAUCUUGUUAAGGAUGAUGAAGAUCAGGACUCUUCCUGGGGUGGAAUGAGAGGUGAGUUACAGCAGAUUGCGUUACAUUUGUAUUGCAUACUUUGUAAUGAUUUACUAUCUUUCUUUCUCUUUUUUUGUUGUUUUUCUCAACUCCGUUCUUCUUUCAUCCCGUUCCUUCUCAGAGUAUAAGGUUUACCCCUAUGAAAUGCUAGCUGUGACUCACAGAGUCCGAGUAAAACUACCACGUGAUGUGGACCGCACCAGACUGGAGAGGCACCUGUCACCAGAGGACUUCUACAGCGUGUUUGGGAUGACCAUUGAACAGUUUGACCGUUUGGCCCUGUGGAAGAAAAAUGACUUGAAGAAGAAAGCUCGCUUGUUUUAAACGUGUCAAAUUCCUUGAGGGAAUGAAAGAAAACCUCAUCCUGCACGUCCUGUGUGCGUGGAAGGAUGAAUGUGAGAGGAAUAUAUAUGCACCUCCAUUCUGCUGCAUAGCUGUCAUCCUAUCUCACGCCGAGUAAGAGGGAGUGUGUCGAAAAAUGCUUUCACAAUGCUGACGAUGUUUGCAACCUAGCUUCGUGUGUGAACGCCUCACCACAUCAUCUGAAUGUCAAAGAGACUCGAGAACUGAACUGAAUUCUCAACGGCUAUCCUGGUUUCUCCUCUUCGGUUGUCUUGUUAGUCGUCUUCCCUGCGCUGUUUUUUUUUUUUUUGCACUCGAUAUUGAUACAAGCCCCUUUCUUUACAUUUUAUACUGCUGAUAAACGUGCCCCAUCAAUUAUGUCUUCAUAUAAUGCAGUCAUGCUGUGUGUCUCAUUGUCAUUUGGCUGUUAUGAAUGUUAUUCAAAAGGUCCUGUCUUAUGGUGGGAAUUUAUUAGGAAUACAUAGCAUCUGCUGAUAAUGCCAUGUGCCAAUUGUGUGAUGCCAUGUGUGUGAUAAUGAUAAUGACAAUUUCCAUGUGCUCUUUGCAUUGUUUUGCCACCUGAUUCACUAUAGCGAUUAUCCAAAAAUGCUAAACAUAGCCAAAAAAAAAAUCCUAUACAUAGUUUGCAGGUCACAAUUCUCAUUGGGCUGGUUGCAAGGUGGUUUUAAGUACUAGCUUGAUGAUGAUGUUACUACAAUUCACGCAUCUAAGGUGGCUUUAUAAAAUUCGGAAAGCUUGCUUGUCAACUUCAGCGUUGAUCAUUAUAAAACAUUAUAACACCGUAACUGCUCCUGUUUUGUGAAUGAACCAUCUAUAACAUGCUAUAAAAAGAUCUUAUUCAAAUACACUGCGAUGCUAUUCCAGCGUGUUUAGUGCUCGAUUUAACUGGAUUGCGAGUGUUUAGUGGAUAUCAUGCACGUUUUUGUGCUGAAACACGGCAAGCUUAAGUGGCACAGUUCAUAUACUGUUUGCUCAGUCUCUUUCUCCUAGACAUGACACUCGGCCACUGCUUGGACUGUAAUAUCAAUCAUGUCAUUUCUUUAUGGAAGCUUAUUCAUGGCUUUAGCAUGACCAGGCCAAAGACUCAGUCACAGAAAGGAGUCAACUAUCUUUAGUUGAUGCUUUUAAUAAUCCUCACUGUUGUUGUGAGUGCUGAUCGCUGGAACAAGCUUUGUGUUUGUUUUUUCAGGUCAGUGUGAGAUUCAUCAUUAUGUUUAUGACCUCAAUAAGGCUUUAGUUGUUAUUUGUCCUUUAUACAGUGUGCAUAGUAUGGAUAGUCAAGGUAAUGUCAUUAUUAUCAGUGAUCAAAUACAUCAGGCUUUGAACGUUGCAUUGCCCACUGUUAUUUUUCAAAGUGCUCACAGCAAAGCAAAUCCUUCCAAAUGUUUUUUUUACUCGCUAUUUAAAAAUAAUUUCAGCAUUGACUUUAGCAUGGAGCUAUACCAUGCACCAAAGGUAACACAUUCUGUAGCAAUUAGCAAUGCUGAAUAGACUUAACAAAGCAUGCAUUUAUUUAAAACCCAAAUAUGAUUUUUUGUUUCUAAACUGUGUGUGUGCAGUAAAAUAAAUGUCUGUUGCUCUGAUAUUGUCACCUAGGCAUGCACUGCAUAUAGUAGAAGUGUCGUGUCAUGGCUUCAAAUGGAAUUGAACGAGUGUAAUCAUGUGUUUGUAUAAUUUGUUGAGAUCUUAAGGAUAUUGAGAGACUAAAAUCAGUGUUUGCUUAUUUAGGAACAUUCUUAGGUUCCUCUCUACCAAGUCUGUUUUUCUGUUGUUCCUGAUAUUGGCUCUAUUGCUAAUGGCUCAAUUUGGGGAGGUAAACAUAAAGUGUUUUUUCGUUAAUUAUUUGAAUAUAUUAAUUUCAUAGAAAACUUGUUUUGACUAAUGAAAACCAUGUACAACAUGUGCCUAUAUCUAUAUCUGCAAUAUCUUUUUUGACCGAACUGGGAAACUCGCUAUCGGAUUGUUUUACUACUUGUGAAAGUACAGCAUUUUAAACCUGCUUAUGUGCAUAUGUGCAUUUUUCAUCCUUAGGGCCAUGAUGUCAACAUUUGCAGUUCAAUUUGCCAUCCCAAAAUCUAUUGUUGUGGGACACGUACAGUAAAGCCUGAAUGUGUUUUGGUCUGUAUGCGGUGAAUGUGUCUGAAUGCGUAGGAGGAAACCUUCCCAAUGUUGAGCUGUGGAGGACGAAUGUGUUAGUCUUAUUUAAACAGCUGGAGAAACAGGAACGCAUGUGGGUGUGUGGUAUUAGCUGUCAGUUCAGCGGUCCAAUAGUUCAAACUAGGUGAGUUCAGAUCAGCUUGUUUUCCGUCACCUUAUUCAUUAUAUAACACAGCAUUAUUCUAACCUUAAAAGCAGACCUAAGUCAUGAUUAAAUAAGCUAGGGCUUAACUGCAUCUCUGCAUUGGUUCAUUUUUAUGUAUUUCAAGAAAUCCUGUUUUUCUUUGUCAUGCGAAUCUCUUUGUGUAGACAAAUUAUUACUGUGACCCCAGAAAUCUCUGACCCGACAGUUAUGAAAGCUGCUUAUUAUUUCUAUUACAUAUGAAGAGAUGUGCCUGGGUCUGCAUUCAUACAAAUGUUUUAUUUUUUUCAUCUGGAAUGUUUUAGACGUUUUUGAAGCUGUAUUUGUGGUCACCCAAUAAGUAAUUUCGUUGGGUUUCCCUUCCCAUGGGUGUGCUUGAUUUUGUGUUGGUAUGCAAACUAUAACUGUGAUUAUGUGAUUCUGACUGUGCAAAGUACUGAAUGAAUUUUGGGAAAAAAUGUAAAUGCAGCCUUUCACUCACAAUGUCUUUGAGUUGCUUUGCAAAAAUAUUGAUAAUCAUCUCAAUAAAUAUAACUACUUCAACUUAA